GGUGAACGCUGGCGGUAGGCCUAACACAUGCAAGUCGAACGGCAGCACAGUAAGAGCUUGCUCUUACGGGUGGCGAGUGGCGGACGGGUGAGGAAUACAUCGGAAUCUACUUUUUCGUGGGGGAUAACGUAGGGAAACUUACGCUAAUACCGCAUACGACCUACGGGUGAAAGCAGGGGAUCUUCGGACCUUGCGCGAUUGAAUGAGCCGAUGUCGGAUUAGCUAGUUGGCAGGGUAAAGGCCCACCAAGGCGACGAUCCGUAGCUGGUCUGAGAGGAUGAUCAGCCACACUGGAACUGAGACACGGUCCAGACUCCUACGGGAGGCAGCAGUGGGGAAUAUUGGACAAUGGGCGCAAGCCUGAUCCAGCCAUACCGCGUGGGUGAAGAAGGCCUUCGGGUUGUAAAGCCCUUUUGUUGGGAAAGAAAAGCAGCAGGUUAAUACCCCGCUGUUCUGACGGUACCCAAAGAAUAAGCACCGGCUAACUUCGUG
rnacentral:rRNA from 1 species